GCGGAAGGAUCAUUGUCG
rnacentral:rRNA from 1 species